rnacentral:rRNA from 1 species
AUUGAACGCUGGCGGCAGGCCUAACACAUGCAAGUCGAACGAGUGGCGGACGGGUGAGUAAUGUCUGGGAAACUGCCUGCUGGAGGGGGCUAACUACUGGAAACGGUAGCUCAUACCGCAUACCCUCAGAUGUGCCCAGAUGGGAUUAGCUUGUUUGGGGGGUAAAGGCUCACCAAGGCGGCGAUCCCUAGCUGGUCUGAGAGUAUGACCAGCCACACUGGAACGGAGAUACGCUCCAGACUCCGACGGGAGGCAGCAGGGGGGAAUAUUGCAAAAUGGGCGAAAGCCUGAUGCAGCAAUGCCGCGUGGAUGAAGAAGGCCUGCGGGUUUUAAAGUACUUGCAGCGGGGAGGCGUUACCCGAAGAAGAAGCACCGGCUAACUCCGUGCCAGCAGCCGCGGUAAUAC